AGGUGGGGGAUAUUUUUAAAGCAGCAGAAUGGCUACCUUAUAAAUCUAAGGAUUUCUUCUUUCUUUAUAGAACUGGUAAUGGACAAUCAAGAAGUAUAUGUAGAAUUCUGCCACAGCUCUGAACAAUUAAGACAUCAUUCAUCAUAGGAAGAAUGGAGGGCUUCCCUAGUGGCUCACUGGUGAAGAAUCCACCUGCCAGUGCUGGAAACAUGGGUUCAAUCCCUGGUCCAGGAGAAUCCCACAUGCCACGGAGCAGCUAAGCCCAUGAACCACAACAACUGAGACUGUGCUGUAAAGCCCAGAACCUCAACUACUGAGCCCAUGUGCUGCAGCCACUGGAGCCCUCUGCACUCUGGAGCCCGACGUCUGCAACAGAAGAAGCUACUGCAACAAGAAAUCCUCCCCACUGGAACGAACAGUAGCCCCCACUCUCUACAACUACAGAAAAGCACACGCAGCAACAA
ensembl:lncRNA